rnacentral:rRNA from 1 species
CCUACGGGGUGCAGCAGUGGGGAAUAUUGGACAAUGGGCGAAAGCCUGAUCCAGCCAUGCCGCGUGUGUGAAGAAGGCCUUCGGGUUGUAAAGCACUUUCAGUGGGGAAGAAAGCCUUGGGGCUAAUACCCUCGAGGAAGGACAUCACCCACAGAAGAAGCACCGGCUAACUCCGUGCCAGCAGCCGCGGUAAUACGGAGGGUGCGAGCGUUAAUCGGAAUUACUGGGCGUAAAGCGCGCGUAGGCGGUCUGAUAAGCCGGUUGUGAAAGCCCCGGGCUCAACCUGGGAACGGCAUCCGGAACUGUCAGGCUAGAGUGCAGGAGAGGAAGGUAGAAUUCCCGGUGUAGCGGUGAAAUGCGUAGAGAUCGGGAGGAAUACCAGUGGCGAAGGCGGCCUUCUGGACUGACACUGACGCUGAGGUGCGAAAGCGUGGGUAGCAAACAGGAUUAGAUACCCUGGUAGUC